UCGAGUAUCUGUAUCUCCAAUGUCUGUUGAUUUAUGUUUGCUUGCACUUUCACAUGAUAGUCGUGUGGGCUUGCUCCAUUCAUUUCAACAAUUUUUGAGACCUCCCAUGUUGCAGCUCGGUAUGGAGAAACAACAUUCCUUUACCAUAUUGUUGCAAAAUGGAAUGCUGACCCAGAUACCCCUGAUAACGAUGGCAGAAGCCCUUUGCACUGGUAGUUUAUUUAUCUUUCCGUAGGGUUCCGCCAGUAUUUCAUUCUGAUGAUACUUUCAUUUUCUUUCUGCUAUGGUUUUCUGGAUGUGCAAAUAUUUAUCUUUUGCUACUAUUAAGAAAGCCUUUCAAACAUUUUCAAUGUAUAAGACUUGCAGAAGCACAUAGUUUUCGGUUGUUUACCGAUGGGAGCAUGAGAAUUUUCCGUCAGGUUAACAUAUUGAAAGUUUAAAAGAAAUUUGAAUUAUAUUCAUCUGAGCGUCGAAGGAGAUAUUCCACACUUGGCGACCAUAACAACCAUUGGAACAUCUAUAUCAUAUAUUUAUGCCUGGCAACGCUAGAAGGUUGUUUGACAGACGUUGUGAUGGAAAUAGCCCGCUUGGUAGACUAUCAAAAUUAGGACUUGCACCUGCAUUGUGGUGUGUAAUUAUUUCACUGCUUGUUACCUACGUACAUUCUGUGCUCACAGUUGACGGCUGGGUUUGGACUUCUUGCUUGGUUUGGGGUUUUAUUGGCAACUGUUGGACUCGCUAUGUUUUAUAGGUGCAGUAGGGGUCAAUGUAGAUGCUUAGACUACCAAAGUGGAUGGUGCAUGGGAGUUCUUUCCAUUGCACAUUUUCAGUCUUGAAACUGAGCUAGUGACUAAAUACUAGAGAUAGGCAAAAAGGUUAGAUGUUUUAUUGUUGUUGUUGAUAUUUUUGUGGGAUGUAUAUUAGUUGAUAUA